rnacentral:rRNA from 1 species
AUUAAACGCUGGCGGCAUGCCUUACACAUGCAAGUCGAACGGUAGCGCGGGGCAACCUGGCGACGAGUGGCGAACGGGUGAGUAAAGCAUCGGAACGUGCCCUGGAAUGGGGGAUAACGUAGCGAAAGUUACGCUAAUACCGCAUAUUCUGUGAGCAGGAAAGCAGGGGAUCGCAAGACCUUGCGUUCUGGGAGCGGCCGAUGUCGGAUUAGCUAGUUGGUGGGGUAAAAGCCUACCAAGGCGACGAUCCGUAGCGGGUCUGAGAGGAUGAUCCGCCACACUGGGACUGAGACACGGCCCAGACUCCUACGGGAGGCAGCAGUGGGGAAUUUUGGACAAUGGGCGGAAGCCUGAUCCAGCCAUGCCGCGUGAGUGAAGAAGGCCUUCGGGUU